rnacentral:rRNA from 1 species
GUCUACGGGCAUGCCACCCUGAACAAGCCCGAUCCCGUCUGAUCUCAGAAGCUAAGCAGGGUUGGGCCUGGUUAGUCCUUGGAUGGGAGAACACCAAGGAAGACCAAGUGCUGUAGGCA